GAUGAACGCUGGCGGCGUGCCUAAUACAUGCAAGUCGAGCGAACAGACGAGGAGCUUGCUCCUCUGACGUUAGCGGCGGACGGGUGAGUAACACGUGGAUAACCUACCUAUAAGACUGGGAUAACUUCGGGAAACCGGAGCUAAUACCGGAUAAUAUAUUGAACCGCAUGGUUCAAUUAUGAAAGGAGGGUUUUGUGUCCCUUUAUGAUGGGUCCGCGCCGCAUUAGCUAGUUGGUAAGGUAACGGCUUACCAAGGCGACGAUGCGUAGCCGACCUGAGAGGGUGAUCGGCCACACUGGAACUGAGACACGGUCCAGACUCCUACGGGAGGCAGCAGUAGGGAAUCUUCCGCAAUGGGCGAAAGCCUGACGGAGCAACGCCGCGUGAGUGAUGAAGGUCUUCGGAUCGUAAAACUCUGUUAUUAGGGAAGAACAAAUGUGUAAGUAACUAUGCACGUCUUGACGGUACCUAAUCAGAAAGCCACGGCUAACUACGUG
rnacentral:rRNA from 1 species